rnacentral:tRNA from 1 species
AGGGGCAUAGUUUAAUGGCAGAAUAACGGUCUCCAAAACCGCUGAUGGGAGUUCGAUUCUCUCUGCCCCUG